GGUUUGUGGCUUCUUAUAUAAUUUUCUGUCUCAGAGUUAUUAUCAUUAUUUUUACAAACUAAUGGAAAAGACUUGCCCUCUUUUCUUUUUUUUUACAGGAAAGCUUUCGUUUCUAUUCGGGGAGAAGGCGCAGUAGAAAAGGCCCUGGAACUAAGUGGACGUGACGUGGGAGGAUGGAAUAUUACAGUUGUUCGUGUCUUGCCGCCAUUGUUAGCCAAAAAAAACUUCCCAACAUCCAGUCGUUCUCAUCCCAACGGCCACCUCCGCCGCCACGCCCCAAUUGCGAAGCGGAUGCAGAAGACUAAGGAGUAGAGGAGGAGACUCUGUUUGGUGUUUUAAACUCGAUCGUGAUACACAUAAAACUUAUCAGCCUCCUUUCUUUCUCCAUAAUUAUCACUUUCGGUUUUCUUUUGUUUUUGCGUGGAUGUUAACAGCAAUAAUCAUGGUACCAGCCUUCGUUAUUUACCUCAAUUAGUAUUGUAUUGUAUGAUGAUCUCUAUAAAUAAAUCAUAUUAUCUGC